GAGGGUACAGAUCAGUGGUGGAGUACAUGCCUAGCAUGCAUGGCAUGCGUGAGGGCCUGGGUUCAAUCCCCAGUACCUCCA
rnacentral:tRNA from 1 species